CUCAGACUAUAUAUAAAUACAGAACAUCUGAAUCAGGUGAUAGCCUUUCACACAUAGUAAGAAGGGGUGUGAUAAUUUUCUAGAUUGUUUUUGUGUGGGAAAUCUGAAAAUUGCAAAUCGUCAUUUACAUGUAAAAAAACUAACUUGUUUACAAAACAACAAUAUAUAAUUUUAGGUUCAUUGAUAAAACCCAACUUUGUCUGAAGUUCCUAGUUAAGCAACAUGUUUGCGGAAAUUCCGGUGGCAUCGUACAUCACUCAAGAAAAUAUUCCAAGAAAAUUAGCGAGCUUAGUGAGCCUCAACUUUUACUACUGAAUGAAUGGACAAUGGUUGAUUAGGGAAGAGAUUUAGAUGAGAUAUUAAAUAUAAGUUCGAAAUAAUUAAAUCUCAUUUAUCUAAUGAAACGAUAAAAUAAUUAAAAAACAAAUAUAUAGAAAACAAUUCUAACAAGAUAGUUGAAAUCAGAUAUUUUAGUAUGUAACCAUUGAUUACUCAUCUUAGGAUUUAAAAUCACAUGACCCAAAUCUCAAAAACAAACAAAUAAUCAUAUGACCCAAAGUGAAUUGUUUAGAUUCACUAUCUUCAAAUUAUCAUAUAUUUAAUAUAAAAACGAUUAUCAUGAGAUACUUUUAUUUCGCCAUUUAAAUUUUAUCUCAACGUUCUCGUUAUUUUAUUUUUUAUUAUUAUAAAAAAAGUAAAAAACAAACGACCAAGGUCAUUAAUAUUUAUGAAAUAUCUUGUAAAUAUAUAUUUUUUUAAAUAUAUCAUCUGAAUAUUUCCUAUUUAAUAUUUUAUAAGUUUCUGGUUGAUUAGUUGUUCAUUUGUUUGUGUAAAAACUAGAAAAUAAAGUUAUAAAUAGCAUAUCUGAAUUCUGAAACGAUCACUGUUUUUUAACAAAUCUUACCCGUUCGGCGUCUGUUGAUCCAUCCAUCUUCCGUUCUAUCGUCAUGUCUUGGCCGUCGACUCUAGUAAGGCAAGUCGGUCUCCU
rnacentral:lncRNA from 1 species